AUUCCAACACUACACACCCACCUAGCCUGGCAACCAGCCGCCGACCUCCUAUCUACCAUGGAUAUGUGCCUUGGAGCCAAAAGAUCCAUCACCAAUCUUUUCCCUCUUCUAUACCUCCUCAUGCCGCGGCAUGGAUCUCCUUGUUCGUUUGUCAUCUAGGAGUAUCUGGCUAGGUCGCCGGCCGGAGGAGGAGGAGGAGAAAGAAAUGGAAGUGUAACUAUGGUGUUGGCUCGGCUCACUCAGAAGUUGAAGCCGAAUCCAAAUGGUAGCUGCCGGCGUUUCUGAUUGAGCCGUGCCAAUAUCUCAGUACUCUUUCAUGCUGAUCUCGCGUCACACGUCGAUCUCUUCCUGAAGUGCUGUAGUCUCUCUCGUACUCUCAUGCAUCUUGGUCAUGUGUUCUUAUACUGUCUCUUUUGCUUCUGCUGCCUGCCAGUAUGUGGACUGCACACGUACAUUGUUUUUUUCGAUUCGUUUAUAAAGUUUCAUGGCACGGUUUGUAUCAGUCUGUGACUAGGCUAGCUAACCAUUGACAGUCUUGCUUGCGUGUUGUUGCAACAGACACCAGUCGUUUGGCGAUGCAGAAAUCGCUCGACAGAUCGAGCAGGAGAAAUAGAAAGAGAGACAGCAGGCAGCCAAGCACAUAUGCAAAUUAGCAUUCGGUUCAAGCUAGCCGCGCUUCAGAGAGCUCAGAAGCAUCAUGAACGUCAUAGUUGAAACCAACGCCCUAAUUUCAUUGCAUUGCGCCCAGCCAAUCUAUUGCAUGGAAUAUGAACCAACUGAAGCCACUUCCGAGCAGUUUCUUUUCAGGAAGGACAUGGCCGGACGAUAUGAUCAAGCUACUAGCAUGUGUAGUAGUAUAUACUUCGAUUAGUUUCUGUAACCACAUCAUGCAUGUGCCCGUUUCUUAACUUCUUGAGGGAGAAAAGGAGAAAUGCAUAAAUUAUGGAUGAUCUCUGUACGUUCAUCAUGUACCAUCAGUUGUGAGCAUCUGUUGAUUCUCUUAUGUAUUGCCUGCAGUAGUCGUACACUUGUACUCCAUACAUACAAAAUUCAGUACAAUAUGAAUUUGUUUUCA